rnacentral:sRNA from 1 species
UGGAAUGAUGAUAAUGGAGAUGAAAGCAUGAUGUUGUUUGUGAAAAGAGAAAGAGGGACUAGAAAUAGG